CUACGGGGGGCUGCAGUGAGGAAUUUUGCGCAAUGGGGGGAACCCUGACGCAGCAACGCCGCGUGAGUGAUGAAGGCUUUCGGGUCGUAAAGCUCUGUCAAGUGGGAAGAACCUAUGCAGUGUUAAUAUCACUGUAUACUGACGGUACCACUGAAGGAAGCACCGGCUAGCUCCGUGCCAGCAGCCGCGGUAAUACGGGGGGUGCAAGCGUUAUUCGGAAUCAUUGGGCGUAAAGGGCACGUAGGCGGCUUGGUAAGUCAGAUGUGAAAGCCCGGGGCUUAACCCCGGAAGUGGCAUUUGAUACUGUCAGGCUUGAGUAUGGGAGAGGGAAGUGGAAUUCCUGGUGUAGAGGUGAAAUUCGUAGAUAUCAGGAGGAACACCGGUGGCGAAGGCGACUUCCUGGACCAAUACUGACGCUGAGGUGCGAAGGCGUGGGUAGCAAACAGGAUUAGAUACCCUGGUAGUC
rnacentral:rRNA from 1 species